UCUGGGAAGGGGCAGGGGCGUGUGCCCGAAGAAUCCGACAGGCGCCGCCUCUUUUGUCGGUUUGUCCCAGAAAGGCUGUUUUUGCUCUCCCAGCUGCAGACUUUCCCAUUACUGUUCCGUGAAUAGAACAAAUAUUUCGUUUGUAUAUUAGUUGUGGAUGAUGGUUUAUGCAUCUUCAGCUCUGCAGACCUGCAUGAUUUGUUCUGACAUCUACUUCAGACCAUUGCUGCCUUGACUUCCCCACAGGACGGACUCAGAGUCUUGCCAUGUGAUACCUUGCUCUACUUUGGGGACUCGGCCAUCAAGAAGCCCAUCCAUUAUCAGAUAUGAUCCCUUGGACCAGGACCUUGAGGCAAAAUGAACCUUCUUUCUUUAUAGCUUCACCAACCUACAGCAGUGUGCUGUCAGCAAAGUGAAAAAGACCGAGUCAUCGCUGAAGGUUUUACCUGUAUCCUUAUGCAACCACCACCCUCCCCACCCUCUCUGAGGAGAGCACUGUCCUGAUCUCCAUCCUUAGAAAUUACUUUUGGGCACUUUGCAUGGUCAAAUGGAAUCAUACAGUCCACGCUCUUUCAAUGUCUACCUUCUUUUGCUCCCGCCUUUCUGAGACCCACCCAUGUGACCUGUAAAUGGCAUUGGAGGCUGUGUGUAUCAUAGUCUGUUCCUUCCUAUUACCCAGCGAUGUCCCGUUGAAUGAAUGCACCAUCUUUCUUUCUCUUUCUUCCAGGAGGGAGUAUUUCAAUCAGGAGAAAAAUUUAUACAAGGAUAUAUAUUUCAUAGUUAAAACAAGAAAUUGCUUACCUUGAGAAAAAAAACGGAUGGGAGGGAAAGCCCUUAAAAACCAAAAGCAUAAAGUUUGCUCCCCUCCGACCCAGACAGGCUGAGUUCUGGUCACCUGAGAAUGUGGAUAAGGCCAUUGUGGAUCUGGCCCAGGGCCAGGCUGGGGAACUUGGGAGCUGGCUGUGUAGUAGGAGCAGGGUUGUUGGGUGUCAGCUACUUUGGGAGUCUACAUUAGCCUGAGGCUAUUUCCAGGACAACUUCAUCCACAGUGUCCACUUGUGGCAAAGGCCUUCUCCUGGAGAAGAAGAGUGAGCACACCUGCUCUCUCUUCCCAUCCUUUCGGACACCCUCACCCCUUGCUCAGCUAAACCCACUUCCCAUGAGGGCAAGGGGUUGUGGGCAGGGGGCUACAUCAGACUUGGCUCACUGGCAUCCACGUGUACUGUCUCUGUGUUGAGAUGUAACAGUGAAGAGGCCCACGGAGGCUUAUGUGUGAACAGUAGUUUUCCAGCUUGUGGUUUUGGGAGGUUAUAGCAUCUUUAGGAGAUGGAGAGGUGGGUCACUGAGGGGCUGGCCUCAGAACUACACGGCCCUGCUUCCGGUCCAAGCUUUCUGUUUCCUGACUACCCGAGUGAUAACCAACUCUCUCUCGCUUCUCAUGCAACAGCUCUGAGCUCCUCUGUCACCAGGCCUCCUCAGCGCUGAUGGACUGUGUUGCUUAACCUCUGUGUGAACCCAUGACAUUACCCACUGAGUGGUGCCGAGCAGUGACCUGCAGGGAGGAGACAGCAGUGAGAACGGCCUGGGGAUCCUAACCUGGGCGCAUGCUGUCCCUUCUGGAGACUCACAACUGGCAGCUCAUGGCCGUUGCUCUUCAAAGACUGGAAAGUGCAUCUUCUCUUCACUAGGCAAAAUGUGACAGAAGAAUCUGGGGACGCCUCCGGCUGAAUGUUAUGCAAAGUCUCUCAUUUAAUGCAUCGAAGAGAUGAAAUCUAAGUUUCUUUCUAAAAUUGGCUUCUAUACCUUGUGUAUCAGCUAUUUCACCCAAUCUGUUCCCCUGUUUUAUUCCUGUUUUAGUUAUUGAAGUAUUUUAAAGGUAUUUCAGGAGGCAUGCUCGUAUCUUACCAUUUUUCAUUUCGAAGAAAGGUUGUAACAGUUUUUUUUUUUUCACCUUACUGUUUUAUUUUCUGUGUGUGGGCAUUUUUCCUGCUUGUAUGUCUGUGCACCAUGUGCCUGGCUACCUGCAGAAGCCAAGUGAGGGUGUCAGGUCCCUGGGGAAUCAAGUUACAGCCGGCUGUGAGCGCCACGUGGGUGUGAAAUGAAACCUGGAUCCUUUACUGAGCCAUCCCUCUAGCGUGCCCUUUGUAGCAGUUUUAAUUGGAAAAGAUUUGAUAGGGGGAUUCUGGGCAUUCUUGGG